UGGGGAAUAUUGGACAAUGGGCGAAAGCCUGAUCCAGCCAUGCCGCGUGUGUGAAGAAGGUCUUCGGAUUGUAAAGCACUUUAAGUUGGGAGGAAGGGUUGUAGAUUAAUACUCUGCAAUUUUGACGUUACCGACAGAAUAAGCACCGGCUAACUCUGUGCCAGCAGCCGCGGUAAUACAGAGGGUGCAAGCGUUAAUCGGAAUUACUGGGCGUAAAGCGCGCGUAGGUGGUUUGUUAAGUUGGAUGUGAAAUCCCCGGGCUCAACCUGGGAACUGCAUUCAAAACUGACUGACUAGAGUAUGGUAGAGGGUGGUGGAAUUUCCUGUGUAGCGGUGAAAUGCGUAGAUAUAGGAAGGAACACCAGUGGCGAAGGCGACCACCUGGACUAAUACUGACACUGAGGUGCGAAAGCGUGGGGAGCAAACAGGAUUAGAUACCCACGUAGUCCCUGAGCGGGCUGGCAAGGCGCAU
rnacentral:rRNA from 1 species